UACGAAGGUCCCGAGCGUUAUCCGGAUUUAUUGGGCGUAAAGGGUGCGUAGGCGGCGCGGUAAGUCGGGUGUGAAAUCUCGGAGCUUAACUCCGAAACUGCAUUCGAUACUGCCGUGCUUGAGGACUGGAGAGGAGACUGGAAUUUACGGUGUAGCGGUGAAAUGCGUAGAUAUCGUAAGGAAGACCAGUGGCGAAGGCGGGUCUCUGGACAGUUCCUGACGCUGAGGCACGAAGGCCAGGGGAGCAAACGGG
rnacentral:rRNA from 1 species